CUCUCUUCUUUUUUAUGUUAUUCUUCAUCUUUUUCUCUAUCGAUCCCAAUUCAGAAGAACUGGUUUGAAUCUUGUGUGAGUAAGCUUAGUAACACGGUAGACUGUCAGUGAUGAAGUUAGUUUAGCUUUGUAUGAAGAAGAAUUUGAUGCUGCUAAAGAGAAUUAGAAGUUAGGUUUUCUGAAGUAGGGUUUGUGUAGAACCGGCGAAGAUAUAGUGUUAAUAAUGGAUGAAGAGAAGAGGGGUUGUUGUUGAAUUGAUGUCAUAAAGCUGUUCAAUUGUGGAAUCGAAAGAAAAAGUUAGUCGUUAUUAACAACAAUCGACUCAAAGGAUUAUCCAGUGGAUUGAACAUCUCGAGGUAGGUGAGGCUUGUCAUUAAAAGAGAGUGCGGGUAAAAUAAGGUACUGAUAAGGUACAUAUCGUUUAUGACUUGAGGACGAAAACCUCAUGGGCGCUUUAAUGAUCAUUGAAGAAUCCGCAACAGUCAUGCCUUGCUACUCCGAAGGAAAACGUCGCUCAACUACUGUUUAUGUUGUGAAUGUGUGCCGGUUUAUUGUUUCAGAGACAGAUCAAGUUAUGCACGUGGCGAUGAAAGCUUUGAGGAGUUGGUUAGCUUCCGCUAUGUAUAUUUUGUGUUUAUAUUGUAUUUGUAAAUCAACUCACUAUUAAUUAUGUAACACUUGAGAGGAGUUCAUUUGGAAAUAAAGAUGUAUGAAUCUGUUAAGAACAAAUGAAGUUAAUGAUGUUAUCAUUGAAA